GACACGGCGCUCUGUCCCGCGGCUCUGAACCCCGGGUGGAGGGGCACCCUAGAUUUGACUAGUUCCUCCGAGGCUCCAGAGCUAGCCAAAGCCUUGCCGGCGGUUACCAAAGGCUUGCAGCCCCGCUAAACUGGGCCGUUUGGAAUUGAGUUUCCCUUGAAGUCUGCAACGCCUGGUCGCCUGCCCGCUGCACUCUUCUGGCGGCGAAGCCCGCACUUAAAGCACGGGUGCCCCUUCAGCAGGAAGGGACAGAAUAGGAUUGCAAGGCGACGGUGUCUCCCCUAAGGACAGCAGGUGUUCCCAGGAAGUGAGACCUACCCAACAGGAGAACAAGCCUACUGGAGGAGGCAAGACCCUUUAGAACAGAGCUGAGUCAUCACAACUGAAGCCAUCCAGACCAGCCAGACCUCAGCUCACUGCAGAGAUGGAGACAGUGUACUUGGAGAAGCAACUCCCUGAGAACACACAGAUGGGAAGUGACAGAAUCAGGAUAAGAAAACUGAUUAUCUUUUACUAAACUGACUAUCUUUUUAUUAAACCUGAUUAUCUUUUAUUAAAC